AGUGAACGCUGGCGGUAGGCCUAACACAUGCAAGUCGAACGGCAGCACAGUAAGAGCUUGCUCUUACGGGUGGCGAGUGGCGGACGGGUGAGGAAUACAUCGGAAUCUACUUUUUCUGGGGGGAUAACGUAGGGAAACUUCCGCUAAUACCGCAUACGACCAACGGGUGAAAGCAGGGGAUCUUCGGACCUUGCGCGAUUGAAUGAGCCGAUGUCGGAUUAGCUAGUUGGCGGGGUAAAGGCCCACCAAGGCGACGAUCCGUAGCUGGUCUGAGAGGAUGAUCAGCCACACUGGAACUGAGACACGGUCCAGACUCCUACGGGAGGCAGCAGUGGGGAAUAUUGGACAAUGGGCGCAAGCCUGAUCCGGCCAUACCGCGUGGGUGAAGAAGGCCUUCGGGUUGUAAAGCCCUUUUGUUGGGAAAGAAAAGCAGCAGGUUAAUACCCCGCUGUUCUGACGGUACCCAAAGAAUAAGCACCGGCUAACUUCGUG
rnacentral:rRNA from 1 species